AACGAACGCUGGCGGCGCGUCUUAAACAUGCAAGUCGAACGGCAGGAAGGGGCUUGCCCCUUCUGAGAGUGGCGGACUGGUGAGUAACACGUGGGUGACAUACCUUUUAGUUGGGGAUAGCUAUUAGAAAUAGUAGGUAAUACCGAAUGUGACCGUACCUGUUAGAGUGGUACGAGGAAAGGAGCUAAGGCUUCGCUAAAAGAAUGGCUCGCGGCCCAUUAUGCUCGUUGGUGAGGUAACGGCCCACCAAGGCGAUGAUGGGUAUCCGGCCUGAGAGGGUGAACGGACACAUUGGGACUGAGAUACGGCCCAGACUCCUACGGGAGGCAGCAGUUAAGAAUAUUCCGCAAUGGACGAAAGUCUGACGGAGCGACGCCGCGUGGAUGAAGAAGGCCGAAAGGUUGUAAAAUCCUUUUAAGCCUGAUGAAUAAGCACAGUAGGGAAUGAUUGUGCGGUGACCGUAGGGAUUGAAUAAGCACCGGCUAAUUACGUG
rnacentral:rRNA from 1 species